GCGGUGGAGCAUGUGGUUAAUUCGACGCAACGCGAAGAACCUUACAGGGCUUAGACAUCCCCUGACCGCGUAUGAAAGUACGUUUUCACCCUCGGGUGACAGGGAGACAGGUGGUGCAUGGUUGUCGUCAGCUCGUGUCGUGAGAUGUUGGGUUAAGUCCCGCAACGAGCGCAACCCUCGCCUUUAGUUGCCAGCAUUCAGUUGGGCACUCUAGAGGGACUGCCGGUGUCAAACCGGGAGGAAGGUGGGAUGACGUCAAGUCCUCAUGGCCUUUAUGUCUAGGGCUACACACGUACUACAAUGGCCGGUACAAAGGGCAGCCACUCAGCGAUGAGGCGCUAAUCCCAUAAAGCCGGUCUCAGUCCGGAUCGCAGUCUGCAACUCGACUGCGUGAAGUUGGAAUCGCUAGUAAUCGUAGAUCAGCAUGCUACGGUGAAUACGUUCCCGGGCCUU
rnacentral:rRNA from 1 species